rnacentral:rRNA from 1 species
UACGUAGGGACCAAGCGUUGUCCGGAAUCAUUGGGCGUAAAGAGCGUGUAGGCGGCCAGGUAGGUCUGCUGUGAAAACUCGAGGCUUAACCUCGAGCUGUCGGCGGAAACCAUCUGGCUAGAGUCCGGAAGAGGAGAAUGGAAUUCCCGGUGUAGCGGUGAAAUGCGCAGAUAUCGGGAAGAACACCCGUGGCGAAGGCGGUUCUCUGGGACGGUACUGACGCUGAGACGCCAAAGCGUGGGGAGCGAACAGG